rnacentral:rRNA from 1 species
ACCUGGUUGAUCCUGCCAGUAGUCAUAUGCUUGUCUAAAGGAUUAAGCCAUGCAUGUCUAAGUAUAAGCUGCUUAUACUGUUAAACUGCGAAUGGCUCAUUAAAUCAGUUAUAGUUUAUUUGAUGGUACCUUACUACUCGGAUAACCGUAGAGAUUUGUUGCGGUUGAAAGGAGCCGGCGCAAGCCUCCGCUCCUAGUGGCACCCUCGGUGCUGCAACACUGUCAAAUUGCUCGGAAGCCCCGCUGUAAGGGCCGUGUACCGCCUCUAGAUCGAAAGGUUUACGAGGCACCCAGCUGAAAGGCUGGGGUAUGGUGACAAUCACGGCUCUAGGGGCAAUGAGCAGCCAAGUCCUACCGAGGGAGCCCCCCCUCCACGGAUGCAGUCCACAGACUAGAUGGCAGUGGGUUCCCGUCGAAAGGCGGGUGCUUAAGACAUAGUCGGUCCCCACCGAGAGGUGGAGUCGGGGAGGACGGCGGCUUUUGCUUGCGAGCAACGGCGCCUAAGAGCCCCGAGUGGCGGUCGGCAUCACAAUAGCGCCUGGGGCGACCCAGUGCGCCGGCUUGUCCCCCUCUCUUUGUGGAGGGAGGGCGGCCGUGCCCCGCCGGAUGCAAACGAGUAAAUCUAGAGCUAAUACGUGCGUACAUCCCGACUUCUGGAAGGGACGUAUUUAUUAGAUAAAAGACCGACCGGCUUCGGCCGCCCCUCGGUGAAUCAUGAUAACUUCACGAAUCGCAUGGCCUUGCGCCGGCGAUGUUUCAUUCAAAUUUCUGCCCUAUCAACUUUCGAUGGUAGGAUAGAGGCCUACCAUGGUGGUAACGGGUGACGGAGAAUUAGGGUUCGAUUCCGGAGAGGGAGCCUGAGAAACGGCUACCACAUCCAAGGAAGGCAGCAGGCGCGCAAAUUACCCAAUCCCGACACGGGGAGGUAGUGACAAGAAAUAACAAUACCGGGCUCAUUCGAGUCUGGUAAUUGGAAUGAGAACAAUCUAAACCCCUUAUCGAGGAUCCAUUGGAGGGCAAGUCUGGUGGACGCUCAAAAGCAAAUGCGCUGUUGACGCCAGAGAUAGUGGGGCGCCCCUGCCUCCCCUUUGACCUACCUCUCUCUCUCGAGCGGGUCUCAAAGGGGGCGGCAGCGGCGUUACGCCCGCUAGUCGAGCAGCCCCGCCAAUUUGAUCGGGCUGGCUGCCGGCGAGAUGACCUGGAACGGGGAAGGCCUUCACCCUCGAAGCUCGGAGGGCCCGGCUAAUCCCGUGGCGAGCCUGUAAAGAGUGAUUUUUACAAGGCCGUCGUAACGCACGGAAAGGCAUCGGCCCACCUCCGCGCAUGCGGAGUGGGCUUAAGGGACGUGCUAAACCCGCCCGAUGAAAAAGGGCGUUCCGGACACUAGCUCCCGAUCAGCAAAGGUCCAGGAGGGGCGACAGCCCAGCGAGGAAAUGCGCUGGGCUGCCCGGUAUGUGAGGCAGUGUAACCUGUCCGCUUGGCCAGCAGCCGCGGUAAUUCCAGCUCCAAUAGCGUAUAUUUAAGUUGCUGCAGUUAAAAAGCUCGUAGUCGGUUUUCGGGCGGGCUGCGCCGGUCUGCCUUUGGUACGCACUGGUGCGCCCCGCUUUUCUGUCGGGGACGGGCUCCUGGGCUUUACUGUCCGGGACCCGGAGUCGACGCUGUUACCUUGAGUAAAUUGGAGUGUUCAAAGCAGGCAACCGCUCUGAACAUAUUAGCAUGGAAUAACGUCAUAGGACUCUGGCCUAUUUCGUUGGUCUGUGGGACCGGAGUAACGACCAAUGGGGGCAGUCGGGGGCAUUCGUAUUUCGUUGUCAGAGGUGAAAUUCUUGGAUUUACGAAAGACGAACCGCUGCGAAAGCGUUUGCCAAGGAUGCUUUCGUCGAUCAAGAACGAAAGUUGGGGGCUCGAAGACGAUUAGAUACCGUCCUAGUCUCAACCAUAAACGAUGCCGACUAGGGAUCGGCGGAUGUUCUUUCGAUGACUCCGCCGGCACCUCAUGAGAAAUCAAAGUGUUUGGGUUCCGGGGGGAGUAUGGUCGCAAGGCUGAAACUUAAAGGAAUUGACGGAAGGGCACCACCAGGCGUUUGAUGCUCUUUUGCUCUAGCGCCAAAGAGCGAGGGUUGCAACCUCUCGCUAGUGGGGGGGUGAGGCAUUUUGCCUUUCCCCCCCGCGACACUGUCAAAUUGCGGGGAAGCCCUAAAGCUCGGCGUACCAAGGCAGGCAUGGAAACGUGCCGCUGGCCCCAGUCAACCGCUGGGGGUAUGGUAACAACCGCUCGAGAUGAGUUGCCCACCCUCGGUGGGCAGCGAAAUGGGUGAUCCGCAGCCAACCCCUACGGGCUUGCAAAGCCUAUGGGUGCUGUUCACAGACUAAAUGGCAGUGGGUGAUCUGUUCGAUCGCUUAAGAUAUAGUCGGGCCGCUCAGAAAUGAGAGCUUGUGGGGGGACGUGCGUGUUUCGCACCGAGAUCCCACAAGGGACAGAGUAGUAGCCUUAGCUGGGCUUCAUACCCCAGCGCGGCGGCACCGCCCCUCGAGGCCGUGUGCCUUCUGUCCGGAGCAACCGGGAGCCUGUGGCUUAAUUUGACUCAACACGGGAAAACUUACCAGGUCCAGACAUAGUGAGGAUUGACAGAUUGAGAGCUCUUUCUUGAUUCUAUGGGUGGUGGUGCAUGGCCGUUCUUAGUUGGUGGGUUGCCUUGUCAGGUUGAUUCCGGUAACGAACGAGACCUCAGCCUGCUAAAUAGUCACAUCCGGUUCUCCGGUUGGCCGACUUCUUAGAGGGACUAUCUGCGUCUAGCAGAUGGAAGCAUGAGGCAAUAACAGGUCUGUGAUGCCCUUAGAUGUUCUGGGCCGCACACGCGCUACACUGACGCGAUCAGCGAGCCUAGCCUUGGCCGAGAGGUCCGGGUAAUCUUGCAAACCGCGUCGUGAUGGGGAUAGAUUAUUGCAAUUAUUAAUCUUCAACGAGGAAUGCCUAGUAAGCGCAAGUCAUCAGCUUGCGUUGAUUACGUCCCUGCCCUUUGUACACACCGCCCGUCGCUCCUACCGAUUGGGUGUGCUGGUGAAGCGUUCGGAUCGGUGCGUUGUGGCGGUUUCCGCUGCGGCGCGCUGAGAAGUUCUCUAAACCCUCCCACCUAGAGGAAGGAGAAGUCGUAACAAGGUCUCCGUAGGUGAACCUGCGGAGGGAUCAUUG